AUGGUUAAGUGGUCAAGCACCCGUCUCGUGAAUUGGAUGUUGUGGGUUCGAUUCCCACU
rnacentral:tRNA from 1 species